rnacentral:rRNA from 1 species
ACUGCGAGUGAAGCGGGAAAAGCUCAAAUUUGAAAUCUGGCAGUCUUUUUUUUCUUCUUUGGCUGUCCGAGUUGUAAUCUAGAGAAGUGCUUACCUGCACUGGACCAUGUAUAAGUCUCCUGGAAUGGAGCCUCACAGAGGGUGAGAAUCCCGUCUUUGACAUGGACUGCCAGUGCGUUGUGGUGCGCUCUCAAAGAGUCGAGUUGUUUGGGAAUGCAGCUCUAAACGGGUGGUAAACUCCAUCUAAAGCUAAAUAUUGGCGAGAGACCGAUAGCGAACAAGUACCGUGAGGGAAAGAUGAAAAGGACUUUGGAAAGAGAGUUAAACAGUAUGUGAAAUUGUUGAAAGGGAAACGCUUGAAGUCAGUUAUGUCGGCUGGGGAUCAACCUAGCCAUUUUUUUUGGCUGGGUGAAUUUCCUAGUCUGACAGGCCAACAUCAGUCUUGACUGCCGGAAAAGAGUGGAGGGAAUGUGGCACCUUUGGGUGUGUUAUAGCCCUCCGUCAUAUGCGGCAGUCGGGACUGAGGGAUGCAGUGUGCCGCGAGGCUGGGUUUUGACCACGUUCACACUUAGGAUGUUGGCUUUUAAUGGCUCCAAUCGACCCGUCU